CAGCAGCCGCGGGAAUACGUAGGGUGCGAGCGUUAAUCGGAAUUACUGGGCGUAAAGCGUGCGCAGGCGGUUCGUUAAGACAGAUGUGAAAUCCCCGGGCUUAACCUGGGAACUGCAUUUGUGACUGGCGAGCUAGAGUAUGGCAGAGGGGGGUAGAAUUCCACGUGUAGCAGUGAAAUGCGUAGAGAUGUGGAGGAAUACCGAUGGCGAAGGCAGCCCCCUGGGCCAAUACUGACGCUCAUGCACGAAAGCGUGGGGAGCAAACAGGAUUAGAGACCCCAGUAGUCCCUGUCUCUUAUAC
rnacentral:rRNA from 1 species